rnacentral:rRNA from 1 species
UACCUGGUUGAUCCUGCCAGUAAUCAUAUGCUUGUCUCAAAGAUUAAGCCAUGCAUGUCUAAGUACAUGCCGAAAUAAGGCGAAACCGCGAAUGGCUCAUUAAAUCAGUUAUGGUUCCUUAGAUCGUUUCUUCCUACUUGGAUAACUGUGGCAAUUCUAGAGCUAAUACAUGCAGUGAGCCUGAAGCCCUUUGGGCGACGGGUGCUUUUAUUAGACCAAGAUCGAUCGGGUUUCGGCCCGUAUUGUGUGGUGACUCUGGAUAACUUUGUGCUGAUCGCAUGGCCACGAGCCGGCGACGUUUCUUUCAAGUGUCUGCCUUAUCAACUUUCGAUGGUAGGUUACUUGCUUACCAUGGUUGUUACGGGUAACGGAGAAUCAGGGUUCGAUUCCGGAGAGGGAGCCUGAGAAACGGCUACCACAUCCAAGGAAGGCAGCAGGCGCGCAAAUUACCCACUCCCGGCACGGGGAGGUAGUGACGAAAAAUAACAAUACGGGACUCUUUUGAGGCCCCGUAAUUGAAAUGAGUACACUCUAAAUCCUUUGACGAGGAUCAAUUGGAGGGCAAGUCUGGUGCCAGCAGCCGCGGUAAUUCCAGCUCCAAUAGCGUAUACUAAAGCUGCUGCGGUUAAAAAGCUCGUAGUUGGAUCUCAGUUCCAGACGAGUAGUGCAUCUACCCGAUGCGACGGCUCGGACUGAACAUCAUGCCGGUCCUUUCUUGGUGCACUUCAUUGUGUGCCUCGAGAAGGCCGGUGCUUUUACUUUGAAAAAAUUAGAGUGCUCAACGCAGGCGAGUCGCCUGAAUAAACUUGCAUGGAAGAAUAGAACAAGACCUCGUUUCUGUUCUGUUGGUUUUUGGAAUACGAGGUAAUGAUUAAGAGGGACAGACGGGGGCAUUCGUAUUGCGGCGCUAGAGGUGAAAUUCUUGGACCGUCGCAAGACGAACUACUGCGAAAGCAUUUGCCAAGAAUGUUUUCUUUGAUCAAGAACGAAAGUCAGAGGUUCGAAGGCGAUCAGAUACCGCCCUAGUUCUGACCAUAAACGAUGCCAACCAGCGAUCCGCCUGAGUUACUCAAAUGACUCGGCGGGCAGCUUCCGGGAAACCAAAGUGUUUGGGUUCCGGGGGAAGUAUGGUUGCAAAGCUGAAACUUAAAGGAAUUGACGGAAGGGCACCACCAGGAGUGGAGCCUGCGGCUUAAUUUGACUCAACACGGGAAAACUUACCCGGCCCGGACACUGGGAGGAUUGACAGAUUGAGAGCUCUUUCUUGAUUCGGUGGAUGGUGGUGCAUGGCCGUUCUUAGUUGGUGGAGCGAUUUGUCUGGUUAAUUCCGAUAACGAACGAGACUCUAGCCUAUUAAAUAGGUGCGGGGUUCCCAGCACCUUACAACCUUCUUAGAGGGACAAGCGGCUCCUAGCCGCACGAAACAGAGCAAUAACAGGUCUGUGAUGCCCUUAGAUGUCCGGGGCCGCACGCGCGCUACACUGAAGGAAGCAGCGUGUCUUUAUCCCUGUCUGAAAAGACUGGGUAACCCGUGGAACUUCUUUCGUGAUUGGGAUAGGGGCUUGCAAUUGUUCCCCUUGAACGAGGAAUUCCCAGUAAGCGCGAGUCAUAAGCUCGCGUUGAUUACGUCCCUGCCCUUUGUACACACCGCCCGUCGCUACUACCGAUUGAAUGAUUUAGUGAGGUCUUCGGACCGAUGUCCGGCGCGGCCUUUCGGUUGCGCCGGUCUGUUGGAAAGAUGACCAAACUUGAUCAUUUAGAGGAAGUAAAAGUCGUAACAAGGUUUCCGUAGGUGAACCUGCGGAAGGAUCAUUA